UAUUUAUUGUGGGUGUCUGCUAGAUCAAAGUUAAUUUAUUUUCUCCAUUUUGGAAGAAGUUGACCUAAGUAAAUAUAAAGGCAGUGUGUGCAAAAGCACACUAUGGAGGUGAGGAGGGCAUGCCAUGAUCUAGUAUGAGGUAUAUUUAUCAUCCUAGUUGGCUUAAUCGAUAGAUGGGUCAAGUUGUACAAGUGCUGCUUAUUUUGAGAUUGGAAUUGACUGAGCAAACAUAAAUGCUGUUGUUUUUAGAGUUAUAUUUGACGGUAGAGCUUCCUAUGCAUUACUUAGAUUCUCACUUUUUAUACUCCACAUAUGUUGCUGAUGCUUUACUGCAGAAAGACAAGACACAUCAUUAUCAGGCUGCCCAGCCUGAAGCGGUGCCUGUGCCAGUUUCGUCUUGGUACUCUUUUGCUGGUCUAUCAUUCCUACACCACUGACUGAAUUUGCAUCUUUAACAUACGUAUCCAUUUGUAUUUGGACUUCUGUUUAUUGGCACCUGAUGUGCAUAUGAGGCACUCUUCAGUUGCAUAAUGUAUGGAUGAGGGAACAGUUUUGGGUUCCAAAUUUGUACAGAACUGUGUAAGCGGCAUUUUGGUACC